UAAAACAGGAAUGACAGUUCCAAUCUGAUUUCUUGCUCGUGAUUCACGACUUCACACAUUUUCCAACUGAAUUUGUUUGAGAUUCCCUCCUUCACGCUUCAUAUUUUGUGGUUUUUGUAGUGUUCAUGAUUAGCACCUUCACAAGACACAGUUCAUGUAUUCAUCUUUCAGAUUUCAAAUUAUAUUUAUGGAAUUAGGGGUUGUUGGGUAUAUUUUUUUGAACAUUUUUUGUUCAGUUUUGAUUUAUGUUCAUGCGCUUCUGAUUAUUGUCUCUGAUUAUUUGAUGUUCAACUGAAACCAGUCAGACCGACGUCACCAGCAAACCACUGCUCCUCGCCAGAAAAUCGCCGCUCAGUUAAUUGUCGUAAACGCCUCCACAGUUUAAUUCUUCCCACUAACAAGUAUGGACUUGUUGGAACUAAAGAUGGAACCUUAGAAAUUAUUGACAUCGGAAGUGGUACUCGUGUUGAAGUUAUUGAAGCUCGUGGAGGCUUUGUGCGGACAAUUGCUGCCCUGGCGAAUAAACUUGGCUUUGUCACAGGAAGUGCAGAUCAUGAAGUAAAAUUUUGGGACUACCAAAUUAAGCAAAAACCUGGUCAAGUGCGCUCUUCAUAUCAUUCCCUAUUUUAUAAAGUAUUUGUUUGUUUUAUAAUAAGGGAAUACAAUAACUUACCUUUUCAAUUCAUAUACUCCACAUAUAAAACAUUGAUAGAAGUAUGGAAGAUCUUUUGUAUAUAGUUUUUUACUUGGAGACUCUUCUGCAAUAGUUUUUAUGUUUUAUAUUUGUUGUCUAGAACUAGAGUUGGUAUAUAAACAUAUAAGUAGAAAUUUAAAACUUUUGGCCACGGGACGAGACUCGAGACGGACAUUCCACUUUCUAUGAAGCCAAGGUUGCAACAUGAUUUGUGGAGCAAACUACAUGCUGGAAGCAGAAUGUGUUCUGCAUAAUGUGAAUAGCAAUUUUAUAUGAAGGAUUGUUUCUUAAUUUUUAGGAUAGCAUGUUGAUUUUUCUGCUAUUAUUUGAAAAUUUAAUUUUAUUAUUUGCUAUGUUUAGAGUGUAAAAGUCAAUAAUGUUCAAAAUCUAUAAACAUUGCUUCGAAAGUUAUCUGGGUAGCUCUACUGUCUAUGUGUAUGAUUUACUACAUUCUUUCACUGGGUUAUAUUUUAAAUAAAAGUGGGAGGAAUGUGAUUAUACUUAUUUUAAAUAUAAAUGUAUCUUUCAAUAACUCAUUUGCUAGAGUUGGUACAAAGCAAAAGAAGGAAGAACAAUUAUCUCUUUCAUCUCAGAUAAACAUGAACUGGUUUUCUUCUCUGGAAUCAAAUAAUGUUGGCUCUCCAAUAUUCUAUUUUAAUUCUAAUGAAUGUAAAUUUGAUCAACCUAUUAAAUUUGAUUAAACUAUUGAAGAGUGCUUUAAAUUUAAUUAGAUUUUUUUAAUUGAUUCAUAACAUAUUUAUUAAUAUAUUUAUAUUUGAUUUACAUCUUUAAUCAAAGUGGUGGAUAACUUGAUUAGAAAUAUUAUUUGAUCAUCCUAUUUUGAGUAGGGAGAAUUUGUGAUAGUCUUUAUAGCAUAAUGUUUGCUCUUUUAUGGUAGAAGACAGACUUGGUUUAAGAUUCAUCACCGAUAUAAAUAAAAUAUUUAUUCUUUAAGUUAGUUCAAAACUAUAAAACCUUCAAUGGACGUUGUUGGGGUUCAUUUUCUAAGAAGGAGCGUUAUUUAAACACUCAAUAUUUGACAUCGGAUAUCAUGCAUAUACUAAUGUUUCUAUCUCUCUUCUACUUUUUCAUUUCAUACACUAACUUUAGUAAUACAUCAUUACACCUAAAAAUUACACUUCACCCCUUUUUAACAGUGCUGACAAGCAGGACUAUUAUGAUGAAGAUAUUGAGUUGAGCUUAUAUAAUAUGGCUAGUAUUUAUAAUAAUAAAAAUAUAUUAAUAAUAAAUAAUUAGAUAAAAUCAUCAUUGUAUUUGUUAUUAUAAAUAAAGUGGUUGAUACGUAAGUGAGAUUUUUCUAAAUAUUCGUGUGUAUAUUUAUUUAUUUAUUUAUGGGAAUUGUUUUAAAUUACGAGUUUAUGUUUUAUUAGCGUUAUACAAGUUUUUCGAGCACAAAGAGGAAGUCAAGUACCAAAGAGUAAAGUCAACAACAUCACAUGGAUUCGAGUGGAUGUAUAUUAAUUAAUUAUCACAAUUUUGAUUAUAUAAAUAGUGAUGAUACGUGAUAAAACUUAGGCAUUAUCCAUACUUUC